AUUGAACGCUGGCGGCAGGCCUAACACAUGCAAGUCGCACGAGUGGCGGACGGUUGAGUACUUUCUGGGAAACUGCCUGAUGGAGGGGGAUAAAUACUGGAAACGGUAGCUAAUACCGCAUACCAUCGUAUGUGCCCAUAUGGGAUUCGCUAGUGGGUGGGGUAAAGGCUAACCUAGGCGACGAUCCCUAGCUGGUCUGAGAGGAUGACCAACCACACUGGAACGGAGACACGGGCCAGACUCCUACGGGAGGAAGCAGGGGGGAAUAUUGCACAAUGGGCGCAAGCCUGAGACAGCAAUGGCGCGGGUAUGAAGAAGGCCUUCGGGUUGGAAAGUACGUUCAGCGGGGAGGCGUUACCCGCAGAAGAAGCACCGGCGAACUCCGUGCCAGCAGCCGGGGUAAUAC
rnacentral:rRNA from 1 species